rnacentral:RNase_P_RNA from 2 species
GGCAGAGGAAGCUCAUCANUGGACCAUACAUUGGGAAGGUCUGAGACUGGGGCCCCCUUGUCUCUUACAGGAGUCCUCCCUGAGUGGGGAGGUGAGUUCCCAGAGAUCAGGGUUCCACUCAUGGGCAGACUGGUAAGGAGAGGACCUGAGUGGGUGGAUGCCUCCUUCCUUUAUCAGAGCCUAAAAUUUUUAGUGUAUUUCAAUUUGAAAAUUUCCAAAUUGAACCAGUGUUUGUGUGUGUGUGUGUGUGUGUGUGCGUGUGUUUAAUAGCAGAGUUACAUUUGCUCUUACGCUUGAAACAGAAACGGUGUUUGCUAUUGCU